rnacentral:rRNA from 1 species
ACCCUUUAAUGUUUGAUGUUCUAACGUGGACCCGUAAUCCGGGUUGCGGACAGUGUCUGGUGGGUAGUUUGACUGGGGCGGUCUCCUCCUAAAGAGUAACGGAGGAGCACGAAGGUUGGCUAAUCCUGGUCGGACAUCAGGAGGUUAGUGCAAUGGCAUAAGCCAGCUUGACUGCGAGCGUGACGGCGCGAGCAGGUGCGAAAGCAGGUCAUAGUGAUCCGGUGGUUCUGAAUGGAAGGGCCAUCGCUCAACGGAUAAAAGGUACUCCGGGGAUAACAGGCUGAUACCGCCCAAGAGUUCAUAUCGACGGCGGUGUUUGGCACCUCGAUGUCGGCUCAUCACAUCCUGGGGCUGAAGUAGGUCCCAAGGGUAUGGCUGUUCGCCAUUUAAAGUGGUACGCGAGCUGGGUUUAGAACGUCGUGAGACAGUUCGGUCCCUAUCUGCCGUGGGCGCUGGAGAACUGAGGGGGGCUGCUCCUAGUACGAGAGGACCGGAGUGGACGCAUCACUGGUGUUCGGGUUGUCAUGCCAAUGGCACUGCCCGGUAGCUAAAUGCGGAAGAGAUAAGUGCUGAAAGCAUCUAAGCACGAAACUUGCCCCGAGAUGAGUUCUCCCUGAGACUUUAGGUCUCCUGAAGGAACGUUGAAGACGACGACGUUGAUAGGCCGGGUGUGUAAGCGCAGCGAUGCGUUGAGCUAACCGGUACUAAUGAACCGUGAGGCUUAACCUUACAACGCCGAAGCUGUU